rnacentral:tRNA from 10 species
GCGCCCUUAGCUCAGUUGGUUAGAGCAUCUGACUUUUAAUCAGAGGGUCCUCGGUUCGAGCCCGAGAGGGCGUACCA